GCGUGUAGCUCAGUGGUAGAGCGCUCGCUUCGCAUGCGAGACGUCCUGGUAUCGAUGCCCACCUC
rnacentral:tRNA from 1 species